rnacentral:rRNA from 1 species
UACGGGGGGAGCAAGCGUUGUUCGGAUUUACUGGGCGUAAAGGGCGCGUAGGCGGUCAGCACAAGUCAGUUGUGAAAUCUCCGGGCUUAACUCGGGAAAGGUCAACUGAUACUGUGCGACUAGAGUGGUGGUAGGGGAGACUGGAAUUCCUGGUGUAGCGGUGAAAUGCGCAGAUAUCAGGAAGAACACCCGUGGCGAAGGCGGACUCUCGUGGGACGGUACUGACGGCUGAGACGCGAAAGCGUGGGGAGCGAACAGG